AAAAAAAAAAAAAAAAAAACAUCACACACGUGUAGCGCCUUCUACACAGUUACGUGUGCAUAUAUAUGUGCACGUGCUGAUGUAGGAGAGCGCAAGAUGAUGGCUUAAUCUUCUCACUGACAAAGUUU